CCUACGGGUGGCAGCAGUGAGGAAUAUUGGUCAAUGGACGCGAGUCUGAACCAGCCAAGUCGCGUGAAGGAUGACUGCCCUAUGGGUUGUAAACUUCUUUUGUCUGGGAAUAACAUGUUCCACGUGUGGGAUUUUGUAUAUACCAUAUGAAUAAGGCUCGGCUAACUCCGUGCCAGCAGCCGCGGUAAUAAGGAGGGUCCGAGAGUUAUCCGGAUUUAAUGGGGUUAAAGGGAGCGUAGGUGGAUUCGUAAGUCAGUUGUGAAAGUUUGAGGCUCAACCGUAAAAUUGCAGUUGAAACUGGCAGUCUUGAGUACAGGAGAGGUGGGCGGAAUUCGUGGUGUAGCGGUGAAAUGCUUAGAUAUCACGAAGAACUCCGAUUGCGAAGGCAGCUCACUGGACUGCAACUGACACUGAGGCUCGAAAGUGUGGGUAUCAAACAGGAUUAGAUACCCUAGUAGUC
rnacentral:rRNA from 1 species